AUGACCAGCACCCAUCUUUUAAGAACCGGGUGGAUCUGCAGGACAGACAGAUGAAGGAUGGAGACGUGUCUCUGAUUCUGAAGGAUGUGACGAUUAAUGAUGCUGGAACAUACGAGUGUGGUGCCCAGAGAGAGGGAGACAGUAUGAAGCGCAUCAACAUCAUCUACCUUCAUGUUGUUCCUCCAGGUCAGACAGGAGGACCUGUUGGACUGAUCGUUGGUCUGUUAGUUUCUGCUGUGUUUCUUGUUGCUGUUGUUGGUUUCCUGAUCUAUAGAAGCUGUAAUCUGAAUCCUGCUGAUCCACAUGUAGCAGAGCAUCUUCAGCCUGAAUGUGAGUCAGAUGAACAAACACAAAGAUAAAUAAAUGAUGGUGAACAUCCAGCAGACGGCUGUAGAAAGCUGGAUGUUCAGAGUCUGAUGUUAUUUCUCUGAUGAUCAUCAUGUUCAGACUCAGACCAACAGUGUGUGUCUGUGCUGUCUGUCAGUGACUCUGAACUACAGUUUAUUCAUCUUCAGGCUGUUCAUGAGAUUUACUGACACAAAGUCAAACUGUGUUACAAACACACAUGAAUUUCUGAGCUCUGAUCUCAGAGUCAGUGAGUGUUUUUGUGUUGGAGCUUCAGCUGUUUGUAAGAACUUGUUCUGUGAGAGAUGAACAACACAGACCUGAGAUCAGCUGUUACACACACUGAAUGAAGUGACAACACAAACGCUGUGUGAUGAUCUGA